rnacentral:rRNA from 1 species
UACAGAGGGUGCAAGCGUUAAUCGGAAUUACUGGGCGUAAAGCGCGCGUAGGUGGUUUGUUAAGUUGGAUGUGAAAUCCCCGGGCUCAACCUGGGAACUGCAUUCAAAACUGACAAGCUAGAGUAUGGUAGAGGGUGGUGGAAUUUCCUGUGUAGCGGUGAAAUGCGUAGAUAUCAUGAGGAAUACCAGAGGCGAAGGCGGCUACCUGGACAAUUGCUGACGCUCAGGCACGAAAGCGUGGGGAGCAAAAGGG